UACGGAGGGGACUAGCGUUGUUCGGAAUUACUGGGCGUAAAGCGCGCGUAGGCGGGCUGGUCAGUUGGGGGUGAAAUCCCGGAGGCUUAACCUCGGAACUGCCUUCAAUACUGCCAGUCUUGAGUUCGGAAGAGGUGAGUGGAAUUCCUAGUGUAGAGGUGAAAUUCAUAGAUAUUAGGAAGAACACCAGUGGGCGAAAGGCGGCUCACUGGUCCCGAUACUGACGCUGAGGUGCGAAAGCGUGGGGAGCGAAACAGGAUUGAGAUACCCGGGUAGUCC
rnacentral:rRNA from 1 species